CUCCGUCUACACAAAGCAUAUGUCUGUACUCGUCAUCUCCAAAAUCUGCUAUGGUUUUAGAUUUCUUCUCCCAUGGAUUCCAUACCACUGCCAUAGGUUAAUGUACAAUGUUUAAAGAUAAUCAGAUGCAGUAACUAGAUUACUAAACUGAACAAUCAGAUGUUUUGACACCAGACUACCCAAAUCUAAGAAGUGAUGAAUGAAAUGAACCACUGUCAUAGUUUAAUGUACAAUGUUUAAGGAUAAUCGGAUGCAGUAACUAGAUUACUAAACUGAACAUGUCAGAUGUUUUAACACCAGACUACCCAAAUCUAAGACGAAGUGAUGAAUGAAAUGAAUAUACGGCAUGCCAAGACUCUAUUAGACAUUAGUUACCAGCUUCAACACCUUUAUCCUACGUAACUAUUUAGUUACAAAGUCAACUUCAGGAAGUGAUGCUUAUCAGUUGCUUUCAAUCAAUUAAGCAAUAUGGGCUCUGGAGUUUAUAUCAAUAGUCAUAGUAACAUCCUUCCACGAAGGGAUUAUAUAUACAGAAAUUCUGCGUUGUUGCAUGAAAAAUCACCUGAGGGCUCUCUAUAAUGGAUCUCUUCUCCUCUCUGAUCUUUGUUUCUCUUCAUUUUCAGUUUUUCAGCUUUUAUUUUCUUAUUAAAAAAAUCAUCAAAUACUUGGCAAUUAAUGACAAUCCUCCCAUAGUUUAGGUGGCGACUAUGUUCAUAUGCUUCAGAAAUAUUUUUGAACAUCCCACGUUGUCUUGAGUGCUGCUACUUAUUUAUUUAUUUUUGGCUUGGUUUUAUAGCACAUAAGUAAAUGCAUAAGGACUGUCAAGCUCAC
rnacentral:lncRNA from 1 species